CGGCGCCUCAUCACAAAUUGAGAGACUAUCUACUUUUUCUGGCUGGAAGUGAGGAGGCUUAGAAGGAGCUACUCAUCGUGGAGACAGGUUGGAAUUUUUUGGCAAGGAAUGGUAUUCCAUGAGGAGACCCAUCAUAUCAACGUCUCUCUUUGGUGAUAUUAGCAGCUUAAUAAAUGCUCAAGUCCAUUCAUUCA